CCAGACUCCUACGGGAGGCAGCAGUGGGGAAUAUUGCACAAUGGGCGAAAGCCUGAUGCAGCAACGCCGCGUGAAGGAAGAAGGGUUUCGGCUCGUAAACUUCUAUCAACAGGGACGAAAGAAGUGACGGUACCUGACUAAGAAGCCCCGGCUAACUACGUGCCAGCAGCCGCGGUAAUACGUAGGGGGCAAGCGUUAUCCGGAUUUACUGGGUGUAAAGGGAGCGUAGACGGCUGUGCAAGCCAGAUGUGAAAGCCCGGGGCUCAACCCCGGGACUGCAUUUGGAACUGUGUGGCUGGAGUGUCGGAGAGGCAGGCGGAAUUCCUAGUGUAGCGGUGAAAUGCGUAGAUAUUAGGAGGAACACCAGUGGCGAAGGCGGCCUGCUGGACGAUGACUGACGUUGAGGCUCGAAAGCGUGGGGAGCAAACAGGAUUAGAUACCCGCGUA
rnacentral:rRNA from 1 species